rnacentral:rRNA from 1 species
AGCUCCAAUAGCGUAUAUUAAAGUUGUUGCAGUUAAAAAGCUCGUAGUUGCGUUUCUGUUGGGAGGGAUCGUUCCAUGCCUCUGGCUUGGAUUCGUAUCGUCUCCUGACAUCCUUGGGUGGAGCCAUUCUGGCAUUAAGUUGUCGGGGUGGGGAUGCCCAUCGUUUACUGUGAAAAAAUUAGAGUGUUCAAAGCAGGCUUAUGCCGUUGAAUAUAUUAGCAUGGGAUAAUAAGAUAGGACUUUGGUACUAUUUUGUUGGUUUGCGCACCAGAGUAAUGACGAAUAGGGACAGUUGGGGGUAUUCGUAUUCAGUUGUCAGAGGUGAAAUUCUUAGAUUUAUUGAAGACGAACUACUGCGAAAGCAUUUACCAAGGAUGUUUUCA